GGUCAUUUAGAGGAAGUAAAAGUCGUAACAAGGUUUCCGUAGGUGAACCUGCGGAAGGAUCAUUACAGAGUUCAUGCCCGAAAGGGUAGACCUCCCACCCUUGUGUAUUAUUACUUUGUUGCUUUGGCGAGCUGCUCUUCGGGGCCUUGUAUGCUCGCCAGAGAAUAUCAAAACUCUUUUUAUUAAUGUCGUCUGAGUACUAUAUAAUAGUUAAAACUUUCAACAACGGAUCUCUUGGUUCUGGCAUCGAUGAAGAACGCAGCGAAAUGCGAUAAGUAAUGUGAAUUGCAGAAUUCAGUGAAUCAUCGAAUCUUUGAACGCACAUUGCGCCCCUUGGUAUUCCGGGGGGCAUGCCUGUUCGAGCGUCAUUUCAACCCUCAAGCUCAGCUUGGUAUUGAGUCCAUGUCAGUAAUGGCAGGCUCUAAAAUCAGUGGCGGCGCCGCUGGGUCCUGAACGUAGUAAUAUCUCUCGUUACAGGUUCUCGGUGUGCUUCUGCCAAAACCCAAAUUUUCUAUGGUUGACCUCGGAUCAGGUAGGGAUACCCGCUGAACUUAAGCAUAUCAAUAAGCGGAGGA
rnacentral:rRNA from 1 species